rnacentral:tRNA from 1 species
GGCACUGUGGCUUAGUUGGCUAAAGCAUUUGCCUUGUAGGCGGAAAAUCCUGCGUUCAACUCCCAGUGGUGCCU